AUUUACCCCUGUUUUUUUUUUAAUAUACUUGUUUUUCUCAGCUUUACAGGUUUUAAAAAAACAUUUAUAUCAUGUUUUUACAGACUUUUUUUCUUUUAUUUCUUAAUGGUAAUAUAAUAAUUGUGAUACGUUUUAUUAACCAUGGGAAGUUAUUGUCUUGUGAUUUAUGAUAAAUUAAUAUACUUGUCUACUCUUGGGUUGUUUUUUUUUAUUUAUAUAGAAAUGAGUUUGUACAUUCUAUUUGUUGAUUGCUUUCAAGAAAUAAAUGCAUGUUCUUUCAUAAACGGAUUACUUAGAGGGUGUAAUAACAAUGAUUUACUUGUAUAUUCCUUGUAUUGUACCCCCCCCCCCCC